ensembl:lncRNA
AGUUUACUAGCUUCCCUGUGUCACCAUGGUGACGGUGGCAGAUGUACCGGCGACCCUUGUGUUAACAGGAUUGUGUGUCGCUCUUCUCAUCACAGGAUCAUCUGGGACCUUCUGUACCACCAGUGUGGCUUCCCUGGAUUUAGGAUGCCUCCUGCGGUGGGAUUGUCCUCAGGCCAACGCUAACACCACCACCUACACCGUCCAAACUAAGACUCAGGGAGAUCCGUGGCAGGACGUGGAGGGGUGUGUGCGGAUCUCCGCCCAGCACUGUGACGUGUCCCAGGCCUUCUCUGACUUUGAACUCUACAACAUGAUCCGCCUGGGCCUCCACCAGGGCCCUGGGAGCCCAGUCUGGACAAAACCACGCAAGUUUGACCCAAGUGAUUUCACCUUCAACAGCCCCUCCAUCUCUGUGUCUCUGUCUAGAGAGAGGCUGGUAGUGGAGGUGCACUUCCCCUGUUCUACCAACAGAGGGUGCUUUCCUCUGCAGAGCUGCUGUCCACUGUCAGAACUGAUUGACCCCUGGGUCACAGUGACCGUAUAUAACCAACAGAACCACUCUGACUACAAGAGGCGUACUGGUUGGGCCCAGGAGGUGGUGUUCAGGGCUGAGUUCUCAGACCUGGUCCCAGGACAGGACUACUGUGCCUUGGCUAACUUCUCCUUUGGACCCCCCACCUUCCCCCUGGCCUCCUCUCCCCCCUCCCACCCACACUGUGUCCACCAGGCUGCCCCAGGACCAGGGUUGCAGCCAGUGUUGUUGGGGAUAGGAGUGUGUGCUGUGCUCUUCUCUUCUCUCCUUGCUCUGGCUCUGUAUCGGCUGAAACAGAAACGAGAUGCACCUCGCAUUAACAGACUCCCCAAGACUCUAGCAACUCUCCAGGCAUCCCUCCAGCACCCCCCAGAGUCCUCUUCAGACCCUGUUGACCCCAGUGACAUCCAUGUGGAGGUUGUGGACGACCACCUCUCCAUCAUGUCUUCCUUGUCCGGCUCUGUCUUCACCAACGCCCAGGCCCCAAGCUUGGGUGACGGGUACAGCAGCAAACCCUUCCCCGGUGACUACAGGUCAGGCAACAUGAACUGGCACACUGGGGAAGACGCUGAGCUGGGCCUGAACUCUGGCAGCACCCUGUCCCUGCCAUGCUCCACUGUGCCUAUAGGGCUACAUAUGACCCAGUGCAACUUCGAUUCACCUCUACGACCACAUCCAGGGCCCACGGUGCCAACACUACCCUACCUUGAUUCUCUUUCUCUGUCAGAGGCUGGGGAGGGCCAGGGGGUCCCUCUGUGCUCAGUGAGGUUUGGGGGGGCGAGUGAAGGGGGUGAGAACCUGGAGGGACUACAGUGGUGUAACCGGUCGCAUGUUGAACUGCAGUACCCAUAAUGCUCUGUACAACAUAUUCUGAUGAACUCCACAGUGCAGUUGAUUUUGGAGGAGAUGAGAUGGGACAGAACUGGACCCAAUGAAAAGUAAUGGUGGUCCUAUGUAGCUCCGCUGUUAAAAAGCAAUGGCACUAUCAAACGGCAGGGUUGUGGAUUAGAUUCUGCACUCACUGUAGUGUAGGUCGCUAUGGAUACAAGUUGAACGUCUGCUGAGUGGCAUUGGUAACCUGGUUCUGCUUUAUAUAGCUGUCGAAGGCGACAUGGCUGGGAACUGAAGCGCCAAGCUCAGUUUGAACAACAACACUGACAACCACAGCUUUGUUUUACACCGUUUGUUUCGUAGGGUUCACAAUAUGGACCACUUCUGUCAUCCGCAGAGCCGGGGUGAUGACAGAUUGAUGAACAAAUCAAUAGGGCUCCUGUUGGAGCGAGCAGAGCCUCUGAUUCACAGGUACAGCUGAGUCUUUGGGAGGGUUUGCUUGAGGGGUGCUGAGAGUAGUGUGUCAAGUUCAAAAACGUUAUUGUCCAUGUUUGUUUAAAAUGGGAAUUUAUCUUUGGCUUACGGGCAUACAUUUUCAGUUACAGCCGGGGGGGGGUGUUCUUUCAGAGGUCUAUGGAGAGCAAUAUUUGUUUCAGGAGAUCCCCUCCCCCAUCCUUCACUGGACUGUGAUAUGGAUAAUGGCGAUUUUAGCAUGUAAAUUUUGGUGUGGCAAAAAAAAAUGUGGGCAGCAAAGCCACAACACAACACUAAACAAUACCUUAAUUGCACUAUAAUGGUGACAAACGGUGC